rnacentral:rRNA from 1 species
AGUUUGAUCCUGGCUCAGAUUGAACGCUGGCGGCAGGCCUAACACAUGCAAGUCGAGCGGGUUUUCGGACCUAGGCGGCGGACGGGUGAGUAAUGCGUAGGAAGCUACCGAUAGAGGGGAUACCAGUUGGAAACGACUGUUAAUACCGCAUAAUGUCUACGGACCAAAGUGUGGGACCUUCGGGCCACAUGCUAUCGGAUGCGCCUACGUGGGAUUAGCUAGUUGGUGGGGUAAUGGCUCACCAAGGCGACGAUCCCUAGCUGGUUUGAGAGGAUGAUCAGCCACACUGGAACUGAGACACGGUCCAGACUCCUACGGGAGGCAGCAGUGGGGAAUAUUGGACAAUGGGCGAAAGCCUGAUCCAGCAAUGCCGCGUGCAGGAUGAAGGCCUCGGGUUGUAAACUGCUUUUGUACGGAACGAAACGGUGAGCUCUAAUACAGUUUGCUAAUGACGGUACCGUAAGAAUAAGCACCGGCUAACUACGUG